CCUACGGGGGGCUGCAGUGGGGAAUAUUGGACAAUGGGGGGAACCCUGAUCCAGCCAUGCCGCGUGUGUGAAGAAGGCCCUCGGGUUGUAAAGCACUUUCAGUGAGGAAGAACGCCUGGUGGUUAAUACCCAUCAGGAAAGACAUCACUCACAGAAGAAGCACCGGCUAACUCCGUGCCAGCAGCCGCGGUAAUACGGAGGGUGCGAGCGUUAAUCGGAAUUACUGGGCGUAAAGCGCGCGUAGGUGGCUUGAUAAGCCGGUUGUGAAAGCCCCGGACUCAACCUGGGAACGGCAUCCGGAACUGUCAAGCUAGAGUGCAGGAGAGGAAGGUAGAAUUCCCGGUGUAGCGGUGAAAUGCGUAGAGAUCGGGAGGAAUACCAGUGGCGAAGGCGGCCUUCUGGACUGACACUGACACUGAGGUGCGAAAGCGUGGGUAGCAAACAGGAUUAGAUACCCGGGUAGUC
rnacentral:rRNA from 1 species